rnacentral:misc_RNA from 1 species
AAGUCGUAACAAGGUUUCCGUAGGUGAACCUGCGGAAGGAUCAUUAACACGUUAUCCACGUAUCAACCAACGAGAACAGUUUUCACCUCUCCCCUCCGUAGAAUGGAUUGAGAGCUUGCUUAGAGUCGUUGAAUGGGAUGCUUAGCGUCAGACUCUACUCGCUUCUGACUUGGCGUAGAAAUACGCUGGGUUGGCAAUUGUAUCUGCAAGGAGGAUCCCGCUCACUGAUCAGUUUCCACUUCAUAACUUUUUCAGUGUGCACCUAUUUUACCACUUUCACCCCCUUUUUGCUAGUUGACUUUUAUAUGUUGUACUCGAGCUUCGGCGAAGGUGCACACGUUUAAUUAUUUGAACGUUAAAAAUACAACUCUUAGCAAUGGAUAUCUAGGUUCUC